ensembl:lncRNA
ACGUGACCUGCCUGACUCCCGCCUCUUCUAUGGUUUAGCCUGGUGUCGAGCGUAUUGGACAAGUAUCUGGUGACACCCUGAGUUGUCCUCUUGCAGAUAUCUUCCUGUAUUUGGGCAGAGGAGCUAUAUUUGUACUGAGGAGAUAUGCUAACCUCCGCGCUGGAGGGAUGAGGCAGUGGAUGUCAAGGACUCAGCCAACACUUCUUCUAACAGCAGUGAGCCGCAGUGUUUUCUUAUUCCUGUUUGCACUGAACAGCCCGGCCUCCUGCAUUUUCCUACCAGGGAUUAUUGCCAGGCAGAGGAGAUCAUCAAGAGACAUGGCCAGUUUCCACCACAGAGCCAGGGCAAGCCAGAGACACCAGAAAGGAGGUGAAGCACAGGCCUGAACUAGGUCUGAUGGAAUGCUUACCUCAGAAGUAACCACCCAGGGUUCCUUUAUCCAACUGGUGCAGCUGGCUGAUUCAGUCUUCUCCCUCAAGAAACCGACCUACUGAAGAUAGCAGGGAAGCAUUGCAAGGAAAUUAUCAGGGUUUGAGAAAAGCUAUGGCCUUCCUGUGGGGACAGCGCACACAUGGAGAAAGGCAGCUGCCAGACAGACACGUGAAAAAAUGUUCAGACGCAUACAUACUCCAAAGGAGAUGCUCAUGUGAACAAUGGGAUGCUUGUUUCAACUGAAAUUAACUGAGAGAAAAAGAGGAGCCUUGCACUGGCUCGGGGUGUGUUGAAAGAAGCCCUGUGUGGGGCUGGAAGGCACAGAAACAGCCGGUUAUGUGAAGCCUUGAGCAGACAGUGUGUGUCAGCAACUUUGCAUUUGCUCAUUCCCUUUGGCCCACGCGUUCCAAGCACCUCACCCAAAGAAAUAGCUAGUGAUGUAGAGAGCCGUGAAUGCUAACAUGGUGUUUACAGUGCUGUCCUUCGUAAUGUCGGAUAAGGUCAAUGUCUGACAGUAAUGACCAAAGGAAUUGCUCCUUCCUGCAGUUUAGUCACCUGCAGCCGCUACAACUUCAAUCUACAGAGUUUAUAAACCGGAAACACUGAUGUAGCCAUGUUUAGCAGCAUAAACAUUUGUAUCAAUUACAUGGAAAAAAUGCAAAAAAAAAAAAAAGCUUGAAGCUACUGUAUCAAUAUGUAACAGAGUUGUACAGUCUUGGGUUAUAGGCAUUUUUGCUUUUUUUUUUUUUCAAAAAAAAUCUUUUUCUUAGUGUUCUUUUUAAGUUAUCCAAAUAAAUUUAAAAAUAUAUAAAUGAGUGUUCUUGAAGUUUUUUUUUUAAAAAAUUACUGUCUUUAUUCAUCAACUUCAGAGUCACCAGAGAAAUCAGAUGUAAUUGACUUUUUACUUUAUUCAUUCAUUUAUUUGUUUGUUUAUUUAUUUAGGGUAUGUGGGGUACACUCGGCAUAGAAUGUUCGUGGAAGUCAGAG